rnacentral:rRNA from 1 species
UACAGAGGAGCCAAGCGUUGUCCGGAUUGACUGGGCGUAAAGCGCACGCAGGCGGCACCGCGCGUGGGGUGUGAAAUCUGGCCGCUUACGGCCAGGCGCCAUCCCAUACGGCGGAGCUGGAGUGAUGCAGAGGUCGAUGGAAUUGCCGGUGUAGUGGUGAAAUGCGUAGAGAUCGGCAGGAACACCCAGGGGGAAACCAGUCGACUGGGCAUCUACUGACGCUGAGGUGCGAG